GUGGGGAAUAUUGGACAAUGGGCGCAAGCCUGAUCCAGCCAUGCCGCGUGAGUGAUGAAGGCCUUAGGGUUGUAAAGCUCUUUUAGCGGGGAAGAUAAUGACGGUACCCGCAGAAAAAGCCCCGGCUAACUUCGUGCCAGCAGCCGCGGUAAUACGAAGGGGGCUAGCGUUGCUCGGAAUUACUGGGCGUAAAGCGCACGUAGGCGGACUCUUAAGUCGGUGGUGAAAUCCUGGAGCUCAACUCCAGAACUGCCUUCGAUACUGGGAGUCUUGAGUUCGGGAGAGGUGAGUGGAACUGCGAGUGUAGAGGUGAAAUUCGUAGAUAUUCGCAAGAACACCAGUGGCGAAGGCGGCUCACUGGCCCGAUACUGACGCUGAGGUGCGAAAGCGUGG
rnacentral:rRNA from 1 species